rnacentral:lncRNA from 1 species
GUGGAGAGGAGCACCAGAAGGAGUGGAACAGGGACAGGAGGCCUGGGACAGAAGCAGGCUCAGGGGAGAAAUGUUUUCCGGGAGAGAAAGUUGAGAUCUCAGUUGGUGGUAAGGACACUGUCAUCAGUAAAUUACGGCUGUGUGUGUGUGUUGGGGGGGAUAUGUGACACCCUUUGGGGAUUCCUGGACCACUCAGAGUAUUUUCAAGGGAUCUGUCAGCAGACAUCUCAUUCUAGCUUGAGGGAGGUGGGGACGCUCUGGGAUGCAAGUGGGCGAGCAAGAAGAAUAGGACUAAGCAGAAAGCCUGUCGGCCUGAACAUCCAGAGGGAAGCUGUAACCCGGCAUGUGAGUGUGUUCGACCUCACAUGGCAGCCGCAGAGAUGUGCUGAAAAUGGUGCCCAAAUUCAUCAUCAGUGCUCAAAGGCUUAUUCCUGGGCCCCAGGCCAGCCCCGCCAUGCCGACCUCAGCACAGCACAGCCCACUGCUUCUCAAAGAUCCCACCCCAUGCCUCUCACUUCCGGUCUUUGCUCACCCACCUUCCUGACUCUCAUCCUCAGCUAGAGCCUUUGUCCACAAAAUGCAAAGUUAAUGUAGUCACCAACAGAUCUCUCCGUAUUUUGGACGUGGUGGCCAUGUGCCUACAUUUGUUGGGGUAAAGAGAGGAGUGUGGAAAUCUGCACCCACCUCACGUCCUCAAGUGGGAAAGGAUGAGAAGACACAGGUAAGGGAAUACAGUCAAAAAUAUUGUAUUCUUCUUUUUUUUUUUUUUGUCCUUUUGAGACAGGGUCUCGCUAUGCAGUUCAGGCUGGCCUUGAGCUCACUUUGUAACCCAGGCUGGUCUCGAACUCGCAAUGAUCCUCUUGCCUCAGCUUCCCCGGUGCUGGGAUUAUAGGCAUGUGCCACCAAGCCUGGCUGAAAAAUAUUGUAAAAUUAUGUCUGUACUAAUUAUCUAUAAACUUUUUCCUUGCCGUUGUUCCUUAUAUUGUACAGUAUCACAGUUAUUUACAUAACAUUUAUAUUGUAUUAGUUAUUGUAAGAAAUCUAGAACUGAAUUAAAGUACACAGACUACAUGCAAAUACCACACAAUUUUAUAUAAGGGACCUGACACAGGGACCUUAUACUCAGUAUAAGCAUCUGAGGAUUUUAGUAUCCAUAAGGGGUCUUAAAAUCAAUUCUCUGCAGGUGGUAUGGAAAAUGAUAUUACUUGGGAGAGAUGUUUAUCACUAUGGUUAUAUUUAGUGACUUGUCCUGGCUAACUCACAAAAGUCCAUUGUUUCCAGGGAUAUAUAGCUCAGUGGCACAAGUGCCUGCCUAGCAAGCAUGAGGUAGUGAGUUCGAUUCCUGGUACCAAAAAAAAGUCCAUUGUCAACUAUUUCAGAAUUUUUUGAGAUGGC